rnacentral:rRNA from 1 species
GACGAACGCUGGCGGCGUGCUUAACACAUGCAAGUCGAGCGGUAAGGCCCUUUCGGGGGUACGACGAGCGGCGAACGGGUGAGUAACACGUGGGUGACCUCGCCCUCAGCUCUGGGAUAAGCCUGGGAAACCGGGUCUAAUACUGGAUAUGACUCCAUGACGCAUGUUGGUGGGGUGGAAAGCCUUGUGCGGCUGAGGAUGGGCCCGCGGCCUAUCAGCUUGUUGGGUGGGGUGAGG